rnacentral:misc_RNA from 1 species
GAUGAAGAACGUAGUGAAAUGCGAUAAGUAAUGUGAAUUGCAGAAUUCAGUGAAUCAUCGAAUCUUUGAACGCACCUUGCGCCCUUUGGCUAUUCCGAAGGGCAUGCCUGUUUGAGUAUCAUGAACACCUCAACUCUCAUGGUUUGCCAUGAUGAGCUUGGACUUUGGGGGUCUUGCCGGCCUAUGGGUCGGCUCCUCUCAAAUUAAUCAGCUUGCCAGUGUUUGGUGGCAUCACAGGUGUGAUAACUAUCUACGCUUGUGGUUUUCCAUCAGGUAACCUUCAGUGAUGGAGGUUCGCUGGGGCUCAUAAAUGUCUCUCCUCAGUGAGGACAACUUUUUUGAACGUUUGAUCUCAAAUCAGGUAGGACUACCCGCUGAACUUAAGCAUAUCAAUAAGCGGAGGA